rnacentral:rRNA from 1 species
AGAGUUUGAUCCUGGCUCAGGAUGAACGCUAGCUACAGGCUUAACACAUGCAAGUCGAGGGGCAGCAUGGGGUUUGCUUGCAAACUCUGAUGGCGACCGGCGCACGGGUGAGUAACGCGUAUCCAACCUUCCCCUUAGUAGGGCAUAGCCCGGUGAAAAUCGGAUUAAUACCCUAUAUUCUUCACAGCGGACAUCUAACGUGAAGCAAAGAUUCAUCGCUAAGGGAUGGGGAUGCGUCUGAUUAGGUAGUCGGCGGGGUAACGGCCCACCGAGCCAUCGAUCAGUAGGGGUUCUGAGAGGAAGGUCCCCCACAUUGGAACUGAGACACGGUCCAAACUCCUACGGGAGGCAGCAGUGAGGAAUAUUGGUCAAUGGGCGAGAGCCUGAACCAGCCAAGUAGCGUGCAGGAUGACGGCCCUAUGGGUUGUAAACUGCUUUUAUGCGGGGAUAAAGUCAGUUACGCGUAACUGUUUGUAGGUACCGCAUGAAUAAGGACCGGCUAAUUCCGUGCCAGCAGCCGCGGUAAUACGGAAGGUCCGGGCGUUAUCCGGAUUUAUUGGGUUUAAAGGGAGCGCAGGCCGAUGGUUAAGCGUGACGUGAAAUGUAGCCGCUCAACGGCUGAGUUGCGUCGCGAACUGGCUGUCUUGAGUGAGUUCGAUGUGGGCGGAAUUCGUGGUGUAGCGGUGAAAUGCUUAGAUAUCACGAAGAACUCCGAUUGCGAAGGCAGCCCACAAGGCCCUUACUGACGCUAAAGCUCGAAGGUGCGGGUAUCGAACAGGAUUAGAUACCCUGGUAGUCCGCACGGUAAACGAUGGAUGCCCGCUGUUUGCGAUAUAUUGUAAGCGGCCAAGAGAAAUCGUUAAGCAUCCCACCUGGGGAGUACGCCGGCAACGGUGAAACUCAAAGGAAUUGACGGA